CGCCAUGUCACUGUUCGAAGGCGCGGCUGCUCGAAAAGUGUAAAGGUUCGGAGGCUGCAGCGGGUGCCCCCUCCCCGGCUCUCAGGUUUGGAGUCAAUAACCCGCUAAAAUGAGCGCGGCGGCGGUUGCUUUUCCAGCAAUUGUUUUCCAGCGCUCGUUCCAGGAUAUCGGGCUACACGCACGUUGGGUUUCCUCAAGAUGCCAGGGAAAAAGCGGUGGCACGGAGUGGCAGCUGGAGCCAGGGGCAGCUUGUGAGCCAAACCCCACACAAGUAAAUUUUAUCACCUCAGAGUUGCAUUUGACUUCCAUGUUGCCCAGAAAGAUCCUAUAUUAAUAUAUAUAUAUCACCUCCCCGAGGGUCACCAUCCCAAAGUCAUGUUCCCUAUGAUUUUUAUCUGGUCUAUUAUUUUGGCGAGGGAGGGGUGUUUCCUUUUGUUAUUUGCGAAAGGAAUUCCGUAUUCGUGAAUGCUCAUGUUUCUGGUUGCUCAAGUACCUUUUAUAUUUCACCAUUAUGACCAUCUUCCUGGACAAACAUGGAGAUUUCAUUAACACGUUUCAUUUCUAGACCAGCAAUGAGAUUUUAAGUGUUACCACACCCAGCAUCAGUCCUUGGCGCGGGCUGCUGGAUACAACUUCUUAUAUUCUCGCUCUUCCAAUUGCCUUUUUCGUAGUUUUCCAGGAUUGGAAAUGUGCUUCUGUGUAUAACAGCAUGUUUAGUUUUCCAAUAAUAUCUUCUGCAAUAGUACAUUAAAUAAUUUCCCUGUAAAGUUCCCUUCCUGCAUCUACUUUAGGUCAUCCAGAUUGCAAAAGUGACUGUGUGGAACAUAAGGCACUGCAUCGAUUUAGUUCGCUGCCUUAUAGAAAUGCUACACCUCCGUUGUCUUUGUAUCCAUUUCUGUUACAAAUAGAUACAUUUUAAUCAGAUAAUUUUGGCUACUGUUUCUCCUGUUAUAUUGGUAGUGUAAAAAGCCCACUGGCAAAGGCAGUUUUCUCAGUUUCACGCUCCAAAAUUUUUCAUCAAAUGGCCAACUUUUUACUUCAAAAAAACCCCAAAUUGGGGACAUUUCUAUUACAUUUUGUAGAUUUUGUCUUGUAUGUGUGUAUAUAUAUAUUUAUGGCCAUGUUUUUCAGUGAUCUGUGUAGUCAUACUCACAAGUUGGAGUUAUUUCAUGCAGGACUUGUAUGAAAUGUUUUUUUCUUGAGCCUUUCAGAUGUGGUGGCCAGUAACAUAUAUAUACUUCUUAAUUAUUAACAGAUACCGUAUUUCCUUGCCUCUUGUUUUCUUAAAAUUUUCCUGGAUUUUGUGAUUUUUGAAGGGAAUUGAAUCUCUUGUUCUCUCACUACCCUAAGACUCAUACAAUAUAUUGGCAUAAUGAGCAUUUUUAGGGGUUUUUUUUGUAGUUCUUUCUAAGCUGUUUAUUGAUAAGUGUUUGAAUUCCUAAUUCUCUACUAGAAAAUUUAGGGUAAAACCAAGUUAACAGUCGAUAUAUUAACAUUACCAUUAAAAAUCUAGUUUUUUGUCAGUGCAUCUUGUUAUUGUAUAUUUAUAUAAAACAUUGCUUAUUCUUUUGUUUAGUAUUGGUUCAGUCUUUUAUCCCUGCAUUACUCCUUUGCAAAGCCAGUCAAGUGAAGGCAUCUGCGUAUCCCAAAGUGGGAUUAUGACCUCAUUCUGAUUAUGACCUCAUUUUGAUAUUUUUGCUUCUCCCUGAACCCUGCUUUCUUGUUUGCCUCUGCCCUUUCUUCAGCAGGGAUUUGUUCUUCACCACUAAUCUUUUAGAAGUCCCUUAGGAUUUAUGUUGGUUUCUUCUGUUCCUUUUUUCUCCGAGUAAGUGUAGUCUGUGAGCUUUAAUUAUGGUAUAUUUUAAGAUUCCCUAGGAGUGAAUCUUAACAGAGUCUUCCACACAGUUCAGACAGAGAAUGACACAGGUGCGGCACAGGAAGCCCUAAAUGAGUGGCUGGGAUCUGCCGUCGUGGUUUUUGUGAAGUAAUUACUGAGCUCUGAAGAAAGUGUUUGAGGCUGUGCUACUCUUCUCAGAAGAAAAGAGGAUAAAGAAAAUCAUUCUUCUAGAAGAAAAUGUGAUUUGAAAGAUAGCAGGGAAACUGGGCCUGUUGUGCAUAGGCUGUAGCAGGAUAAAGUUCCAUUAAGUAAGGAUGUAAGCCAGUGGAUGUCUGCAACAGAAGAAGAAAAGGAAGACAGAGAGGUUUGAAUUCACACAGACAACUUCUGUGGCUAAAUUGAGAUUUCCAGGUGAAAUCCAACCUGAAGUAAAAUGAAGACAAAAGAGCAAUAUUUAAUUUUCAAGCUUUUGGGAGACGCAUUCUGAUUGUUUUUCUGGGAGAUUCUCUUUAAGAUCUGAUUUAUUUUCCCUUAGAUAAAGCCUUCAGCCUUCUUUAAAAUUCAAAUGUGUGGAAGAGCCGAGAGAAAAAAGAUGUGGCAAGAAAACCUUGUCAUUGUGCUUAUGGUCCUGUACCUACUGAACUCAACAACAGAAAUAUUGAAAGGAGUUUGAAGCCCAUAUUUUCCACCUGAUCUCCGCUGGCGUCUCUUGAAGAGUCUGGCCCCUCUGUUGCUGAGUGUUGAGAGUUCCUCUACCAUGAUAUCUCUGGGCGUGCUGACCUUUUUCCCAAGGUUUAAGGACAGGGGAAGACCGAGAGAGCAAGUUAAAGGCUGGUUGCAGAUGACUCUAAGGGAACAGAUCCUCUACUGGGAGCUGUUAUUGGAGUCAUGCAGACGAGAUCCCUCAAGGAGCAGGUUGCCACAAUUUAAUCAGUGAUUCCUAAGGAUAGUGACCUGCUACUAGAUGAGAAGAGACUGAGAUUAUCGUAGUUGACACGGGAAAAGAAUUGGAUCUAUGUCCUGCUUGAAAGAAGAAUUUAUCAGAUUGCCUCUGAAUAUGCAUUAGAAGACGGGCAGAGUUCAGCCCUUUCUGGAGAUGCCUUUCCAGCUCGCUGCAGGAGCAACAGCCCUGGUGUAAUUCCAGGAAGGAAGCAGAACCCACGGAGUCAGCACGGCAGGGUAACCACUGCAUCUGGAAUUUCCCACUGUCAGGAGUGCCCUUUGCUGAUUAAAACGUCAAGGGCUGAGCAAUUCCUCAAAUCCACAGAAAUGUUAAUCUUAGGGGAAAGUUCCUUUUGUGAGGAACUCAGCCAGGAUGUUUGCUAUCAUCAGAGCACUACGGAGAAUCCAGGACCUCCUGACACCAGUUCACAAGCAGCAGGGACUGGGGGCUGUCCAGGGGCUCUUCAGGAGGGUCUGUAAAGACUUGGGCUGAAUCUGUGAGUGAGCAAGGAGUGGGUGCUGUGAUGCCUUGAUGAGAGAUCACAUCCCAGAGGCACAGGUGGUCCUUACACUUGUUUGAGGUGGAAAUAUGCAAUUCAGUGAAUAACAAUGCUGUCUUCAGCAAGAAAGCAAAAGUCUUCACAGCAGGUUGGUGACACGUGGAUAUUGGAGACCAGGACAAGCUUCAGACAGACAGCUGGGAAAAUCAAAGUUUUAAGAGGAACUGUUUGCCUCUCAGUGGAUAAUAUAUCUAUGAAGCAUGGGAGACUUUCUGGACUCGUUGAACUUUCAGAGGCAGCCCAGCAAGGUAUAAAAUCCUGCAUCACUUGAGCUUCUCCUGCUACACUGGCUGGGUAUGUUGAAGAAAAAAGUCGAAAGAGCUGAAAACCAAGGAGGCACGACAUCAGACCUGAAAUUUUAGUCCUCAUCAAUCGAACAUAUAAAAUGGUUAGUACAAGGAUAUUUGAUCAUUUGAAUUGGCUUAUAUUUCUAUUCCAUUUGCAAUCUCCUAUUUUACAGUAACUUCAAAAUUUUGAUGAAUGCCAUUAGAAACUGACCCUGCAAACUUUUUCUUUAGCUUUAUGCCAAUGUCUGUCUCUCGUGCCCCUCUAGAUAAGCAGGCUUCUGUUUUCUGUGCACAGUAGUUUCCAGUCAUGUCAGACAAUAACAUAUUCUACAUAUUAAAAAGUCUUCAAAUAAUAUAGUGAGACCACGCUCUUCUUUAAGAAAAAAAGCAGCAUCUUCUUACUGAAAUGCUGCUGCAGGAGACAAAUAGGAUUAAGCAACACCAUUGUGCUGUAAACAGACACCAGCAGUCUGUAAGUUGUCACUGUACAAUCAUUUCCUCAGGCCUCCUCUGACUAGCUGAAGGUUCACUUGGCAGCACAAAAUGCACAAUCUUACAAAAACCAGCUGUAUUGUGUGUAUGUGAUUGUGCAAGCCUGAAUUUAGUUAAGGAUAAAGAUUUCUUUGAAAAGCCACUAAUUUCCAAAAUAUUUGUAAACAUCUUACUAAUCCCGGAGUCCUUCCCUGUAGCUGUUUUAGAAACAUAUUUGCCAUAAUACUUGUUCUGAGUGCCCAAGCAAGAAGUAAAGAACUGGGUAAAAGAAAUGUGACUGAGGGAAAAUGCUAAGUAAUUAUUUUUCUGUUAAGUAAUUCCAAGUAAUUAAGUAAUUCUAAGUAAUAUGUGGUUGUAUGUGAUCAUACAUGUGUGUCAUUAAAACUAGAUGUGUGAACAACAUAUAUAAAGAACACUGGGUAAAUGUGGGAUUUUUUUUUUUUUGUC